rnacentral:lncRNA from 1 species
UAACAAUCAGAAACUACACCGCUAGAAUCCAUUCCAUCGGAGCAAGUCUAUCUUCGGCUUCAGAUUGCGAUGAACCAUCACACAAGAGUCGCAUUGUCAAGUCAAUCAAAGUUGCCACGAGCUACAGAGAUUUGGCCCAUCGUCAAAACCCACUCUGCUCCUACAGCUUCCUUAAUGUUCUGACUUUGCUAACCUGCAAAAUAGCACAAACGACCACUAACUCCCGAUAAGGCACCAGUGAAUGCAUUCGGAAUGGAUAACUCGUCCCGGUAAAAACCGGAGAUCUUGGAUAAAGGCGCAGCCGUAUGCCUCAACUGCUCCGAUCUAGCCACGACCUUUGCCGCACGGAUAGCUACUCCGCACUACCGCACGAGGAGUCCAUUCAUUCACCGGAGACACCCACGAUUGAGAGAGACGCUGCUCACAUAGGCACGAAAUAAAGGCUACUGCUUACCGAAGAGACCAGACAACGGAGCUCCUCAAGCUGUAAACCGCUCUUAUUUGGAAAAGAGAGAGACAACAGAGCUUGCCACAUCACCGAACCAUGAACGAGAGGAUCGAGUCUGCGACCCUUCUGAGAAAAUUCCAGGUAAACCGACAAGGUUAGACAGGAAAAGUCAUAAAGAAGCAGAGCUACACGCGCCGCCACCGAGUUCAGACAUGCGCCUACUGAACCCAACGCGCCGCCGCAUCAACAGCAGACCCAACAUCGCUCAUGUUGAGAAAGGCUUGACCACUUCCUGCAAAAAGCAGAGCCCAACCCCAAGACUUCCAACAAGAGCUAGAUCCGUGGACGGCACCAUAGCCACAUGGCCCGUAGAUCUGACAGAGUUGAAGCCUUACCGACGACCACACGCCAUCACUCUCAGAGCAAAACUCCCCAAGUCUUAGAUGGCCACAGUAAGCUCCGGAAGCAGGGAGUCAACGAGCCAGACAGAGUAGUCCUCAAACUCGCCAAAGCUCACCUCCUCGCUGACCAGAGAGUGGACCAGAUGGAGCAUUGGAGAACAGCCCCCAAGCCUAAACGAAAACAGAACUAUUUACCCGGAAAAAUUAUCAGACGCCAGAGAAGGGGAGGACAACCGCCGUGAGGACACUGCGAGAACCCAACCAACCAUUGCGGACAGAUCUGAACCCGAGUAAUAAGAACCGCACUCGUCACACAUCGAAGAAGAAAACAGAGGGAGGAAACGACGAAACAGAACAAAUGAAAAGAAAAAGGAGGAGACCAGCGGCGGAGCUGCGGUAGCCUCCCUAGCCGCCGGUCUCAGAUCUAGGGUUUUGAGAUGAGUUGUAAAGGGAGAUGUCGAGAGGGAGAGAAAAGAAGAG